UAGUGACAUUCAGAAUCUUUUCUUUUACAGCCAUUUCGUAGAGUGACGUUUUCUGUUGUGAGUCAGCCUCAGGACCCACAUCAGGGGUCACUGCAGAGUUGCUAUGACAGCGGGCUGGAGGAGUCAGAAACACCAAGCAGUAAGAGUUCAUCAGGGCCAAGACUGGGUGCCCUUCCACUCCCAGAGGACAACUAUGAAAGGACCACGCCGGAUGGCAGUGUUGGUGAGGCAGAGCAUAUGGAAAAUGGUGUUGCUGCCAUCACUACCUUCCCCUUCCUCCCCUUUCCUCAUGGCAAGACGCAUGGAAGAAGAGUGCUGUUAA
rnacentral:lncRNA from 1 species